ACGGCCAGAGGACAGCAUGCAGGCAAAACAAGAAUAGACAUCAACGGCAAUUUACAGAUGCAGUACAUGGCUCCGAACAGAUCCAUCCGUCUCCCAGCAAGCGGGAGAUGUUUUGGGACAGGAACCCCCAUAUGGACCACUGUCGUCACGGCCGGAGGACAGCAUGCAGGCAAAACAAGAAUAGACAUCAGGGCAAUUUACAGAUGCAGUACAUGGCUCAGAACAGAUCCAUCCGUCUCCCAGCAAGCGGGAGAUGUUUUGGGACAGGAACCCCCAUAUGGACCACUGUCGUCACGGCCAGAGAACAGCAUGCAGGCAAAACAAGAAUAGUCAUCAACGGCAAUUUACAGAUGCAGUACAUGGCUCAGAACAGAUCCAUCCGUCUCCCAGCAAGCGGGAGAUGUUUGGGGACAGGAACCCCCAUAUGGACCACUGUCGUCAC
rnacentral:lncRNA from 1 species